rnacentral:rRNA from 1 species
UAACUGAAGAGUUUGAUCAUGGCUCAGAUUGAACGCUGGCGGCAGGCUUAACACAUGCAAGUCGAGCGGGGGAAGGUAGCUUGCUACUGGACCUAGCGGCGGACGGGUGAGUAAUGCUUAGGAAUCUGCCUAUUAGUGGGGGACAACAUCUCGAAAGGGAUGCUAAUACCGCAUACGUCCUACGGGAGAAAGCAGGGGAUCUUCGGACCUUGCGCUAAUAGAUGAGCCUAAGUCGGAUUAGCUAGUUGGUGGGGUAAAGGCCUACCAAGGCGACGAUCUGUAGCGGGUCUGAGAGGAUGAUCCGCCACACUGGGACUGAGACACGGCCCAGACUCCUACGGGAGGCAGCAGUGGGGAAUAUUGGACAAUGGGGGGAACCCUGAUCCAGCCAUGCCGCGUGUGUGAAGAAGGCCUUAUGGUUGUAAAGCACUUUAAGCGAGGAGGAGGCUACUUUAGUUAAUACCUAGAGAUAGUGGACGUUACUCGCAGAAUAAGCACCGGCUAACUCUGUGCCAGCAGCCGCGGUAAUACAGAGGGUGCGAGCGUUAAUCGGAUUUACUGGGCGUAAAGCGUGCGUAGGCGGCUUAUUAAGUCGGAUGUGAAAUCCCCGAGCUUAACUUGGGAAUUGCAUUCGAUACUGGUGAGCUAGAGUAUGGGAGAGGAUGGUAGAAUUCCAGGUGUAGCGGUGAAAUGCGUAGAGAUCUGGAGGAAUACCGAUGGCGAAGGCAGCCAUCUGGCCUAAUACUGACGCUGAGGUACGAAAGCAUGGGGAGCAAACAGGAUUAGAUACCCUGGUAGUCCAUGCCGUAAACGAUGUCUACUAGCCGUUGGGGCCUUUGAGGCUUUAGUGGCGCAGCUAACGCGAUAAGUAGA